rnacentral:lncRNA from 1 species
AGCCUGUGGGAAAAUGACUGAGUGCCCAUAGAUGAAGUGCUUUCAAGACUGUCUGGCACCUAGAGGUAUCAUCGCAGAAGCCUUGGAUAUGAACAGAAGCAGGCAGAGGAUGAAGCUGAUGGUGUGCAUGGUCACUGUGCUCCUGCCCAUUUUUGAGCUUCUGGAAUACAAGCUGUGCCUUUGCCUGGAAUGUCCCUCCCAGUCUGACUAGGCAUCUUCUGAUGGGGUUUGACCUGGUUGCUUCUAACACUAGGAUGGACCUCUUGGCAAUCUCUGGAUAUCUUUCUGUGGUUUGUUAUAAUGGGAGAAGAAGAAGCACUCCCAUCUAGAUUGCUGUAUCAGAAUGGACUGUUAUGAUUGCAAAUGGCAGAAACCUAACUCAAUGCAACUAUAACAAUGAGGGAAAUGUCUUGGCAGCUCUUGAAAUCCAUGGAAGA